UACGGAGGAUCCGAGCGUUAUCCGGAUUUAUUGGGUUUAAAGGGAGCGUAGGCGGACUUUUAAGUGAGAUGUGAAAUACUCGGGAUCAACUUGAGUGCUGCAUUUCAAACUGGAAGUCUAGAGUGCAGGAGAGGAGAAUGGAAUUCCUAGUGUAGCGGUGAAAUGCGUAGAGAUUAGGAAGAACACCAGUGGCGAAGGCGAUUCUCUGGACUGUAACUGACGCUGAGGCUCGAAAGCGUGGGGAGCAAACAGG
rnacentral:rRNA from 1 species